GACGAACGCUGGCGGCGUGCCCAAUACAUGCAAGUCGAGCGAAGUUUUUCUGGUGCUUGCACCGGAAAAACUUAGCGGCGAACGGGUGAGUAACACGUAAAGAACCUGCCUCAUAGACUGGGACAACUAUUGGAAACGAUAGCUAAUACCGGAUAACAGCAUUAACUGCAUGGUUGAUGUUUAAAAGUUGGUUUUGCUAACACUAUGAGAUGGCUUUGCGGUGCAUUAGCUAGUUGGUGGGGUAAAGGCCUACCAAGGCGACGAUGCAUAGCCGACCUGAGAGGGUGAUCGGCCACACUGGGACUGAGACACGGCCCAGACUCCUACGGGAGGCAGCAGUAGGGAAUCUUCCGCAAUGGGCGAAAGCCUGACGGAGCAACGCCGCGUGAGUGAAGAAGGAUUUCGGUUCGUAAAGCUCUGUUGUUAGGGAAGAAUGAUUGUGUAGUAACUAUACACAGUAGAGACGGUACCUAACCAGAAAGCCACGGCUAACUACGU
rnacentral:rRNA from 1 species